AUCAGCAUUUAUGACCUAACAGAAUCUAAGCAUCCCUGUGUCAUUUAGGACUAUCUAGAUAAGCAAGUCCAAGUCCCACAUUCAGGUUUCAAGAAUGUUUUCAUCAUCUGAUAAGGAAACCCAGGACCCUGUACCAGCGGCCAUUCCACCUCUAUCACCAGCCCAGGGAAACGAUUUCAUCUCCUUCCUACCUCCAUAAAUGUGCCUGUCCUGGAUGGUUUAUAGAAAUACAAUCAUAAAAUA